rnacentral:lncRNA from 1 species
UGUGAUCAAGGUCCUGAAUCCCAGGCAUUGAGGCAGAAGGAGAUGCCGUGCCAGGUGGAUCUGGAAGAUGCAGCUGCACGUAGGACUGGAGAGUAGCUGGGGGACCGCCAAGGAAGAGGCUGGGAUGGAGCCCAAGGAGUGGGCUGGGGGCAGUGAGGCCGGAGAAGAGGGUCCACUUGGACUUCUCAAUGGGGAGCAGAUUGGAUGGGACUGAGGCUGGGGUAACGGGAGAAGCCAGGGGCCAGUCUCAAGAGACUAGGAGAUGGUGGUGCCCAAAACUUGGGGAGGGGAGAGGAUGGCUGCAGCUUCAUGCCUGUUGAUGUCAAGGGGCCAGCAGGACCCUGCAUGAAGACGUCCACGUGGCCAGAAAGGCAGGCUCUGCCGGCCAAAGCGAGGAGAGAGUGCUCACGAUUCAUUAUAAAAGUGAGGAAGUGUCCUCUGAGCACGCCUCCAAGGCGGUUCUGCGCAGCUCCUGCUGGGGCAGCUGAGAGCGAACGAUGUGCUGAGUGAACUCCUGAGGUUCAGCAAACCUGCGCAAAGGUUCCAGGGACCCAUCUUCUGAGGGGCUUCUCCUGCAGGUGGUCCAGGCAGCCAUCAAAGACGGGGCUGCAGGGGGGUCUGGGGCCCAGGAUGACAUUUGUUAUUCAGUAAGUGAAGAGAGAAGGCUACAAAAAUU